rnacentral:rRNA from 1 species
UCAGUUGAAUCGAAUGACUUAGUAACGGAUCAGAGGAAGGCAGUGUGGAACGACUCGGGGUUGAUGCCUUAAUGAAGGAAUGCCCUUGCCGCGUGCCGCUUCUUGAGUCCUUGGGGGGUUCACCCACCACUAGGACUAACGUAAAGCUUUUGUAAUUGCAAUCAGCGUCAGUAACAAAUUAGGGUUACAACUUUCAACAACGGAUCUCUUGGUUCUGGCACCGAUGAAGAACGCGGGCAAAUGCAGAAAGUAGUGUGAAUUGCAGAAUUCAGUGAAUCAUCGAAUCUUUGAACGCACAUUGCGCCCUUUGGUAUUCCAAAGGGCAUGCCUGUUCGAGCGUCAUUUGUACCCUCAAGCUUUGCUUGGUGUUGGGCGUCUUGUCUCUAGCUUUGCUGGAGACUCGCCUUAAAGUAAUUGGCAGCCGGCCUACUGGUUUCCGAGCGACGCGCAAGACGCACUCUCCAUGGGCGAAGCCCCAACAUGCUUCAGCCCUUCUUUUUAUUUUUUGACCUCGGCCUCCGCAGGGUCACCCGCUGAACUUAAGCAUAUACUUAAGCGGAGGAA